rnacentral:rRNA from 1 species
CGCUGGCGGCACGCUUAACACAUGCAAGUCGAACGGAGUUUGGAGCUUGCUCCAAACUUAGUGGCGGACGGGUGAGUAACACGUGAGCAACCUACCUCUGAGAGCGGAAUAGCUUCUGGAAACGGAUGGUAAUACCGCAUGACAUUGUGAAGCCGCAUGACUUUACAAUCAAAUGAAUUUCGCUCAGAGAUGGGCUCGCGCCUGAUUAGCUAGAUGGUGAGGUAACGGCCCACCAUGGCGACGAUCAGUAGCCGGACUGAGAGGUUGAACGGCCACAUUGGGACUGAGACACGGCCCAGACUCCUACGGGAGGCAGCAGUGGGGAAUAUUGCACAAUGGGCGAAAGCCUGAAUGCAGCGAUGCCGCGUGGAGGAAGAAGGUUUUCGGAUUGUAAACUCCUUUUUUCAGGGACGAUAAUGACGGUACCUGAAGAAGAAGCUCCGGCUAACUACGUGCCAGCCGCAGC